GAUGAACGCUAGCGGCAGGCCUAAUACAUGCAAGUCGAGGGGUAGAGGCUUUCGGGCCUUGAGACCGGCGCACGGGUGCGUAACGCGUAUGCAAUCUGCCUUGUACUGGGGGAUAGCCCAGAGAAAUUUGGAUUAAUACCCCAUAGUAUUUUCGGUUGGCAUCAACUGAUUAUUAAAGUUUUUCGGUACAAGAUGAGCAUGCGUCCCAUUAGCUAGUUGGUAUGGUAACGGCAUACCAAGGCUACGAUGGGUAGGGGUCCUGAGAGGGAGAUCCCCCACACUGGUACUGAGACACGGACCAGGCUCCUACGGGAGGCAGCAGUGAGGAAUAUUGGUCAAUGGUCGCAAGACUGAACCAGCCAUGCCGCGUGCAGGAUGAAGCAUCUAUGGUGUGUAAACUGCUUUUGUACGGGAAGAAACACUCCUACGUGUAGGGGCUUGACGGUACCGUAAGAAUAAGGAUCAGCUAACUCCGUGCCAGCCGCCGCAGUAA
rnacentral:rRNA from 1 species